rnacentral:rRNA from 1 species
ACUCCUGCGGGAGGCAGCAGUGGGGAAUAUUGCACAAUGGGCGCAAGCCUGAUGCAGCCAUGCCGCGUGUAUGAAGAAGGCCUUCGGGUUGUAAAGUACUUUCAGCGGGGAGGAAGGUGUUGAGGUUAAUAACCUCAGCAAUUGACGUUACCCGCAGAAGAAGCACCGGCUAACUCCGUGCCAGCAGCCGCGGUAAUACGGAGGGUGCAAGCGUUAAUCGGAAUUACUGGGCGUAAAGCGCACGCAGGCGGUCUGUCAAGUCGGAUGUGAAAUCCCCGGGCUCAACCUGGGAACUGCAUUCGAAACUGGCAGGCUAGAGUCUUGUAGAGGGGGGUAGAAUUCCAGGUGUAGCGGUGAAAUGCGUAGAGAUCUGGAGGAAUACCGGUGGCGAAGGCGGCCCCCUGGACAAAGACUGACGCUCAGGUGCGAAAGCGUGGGGAGCAAACAGGAUUAGAAACCCCGGUAGUCCCAUG